AGGCAGAAAGCAGUAAGGAGUCAGAAGCCAUUCUCCCUGAUUCUACACCAGCAGGGUUCAACUCACUCCAAAUCAAGGUGGAGUUGCUGAGGAGGGACUAAUUAUGAGACUGCUCCAGUCAAAGCACCAGGACUGUGUUGGACAGGAA